rnacentral:rRNA from 1 species
UACGUAGGUGGCAAGCGUUGUCCGGAAUUACUGGGUGUAAAGCGCGUGUAGGCGGCAGACCAAGUCGGCGGUGAAAGCGCCCGGCUCAACUGGGCGAGGUCCGUGGAACUGGUCAGCUGGAGGACGGUAGAGGCGAGUGGAAUUCCCGGUGUAGUGGUGAAAUGCGUAGAGAUCGGGAGGAACACCUGUGGCGAAGGCGGCUCGCUGGGCCGGUCCUGACGCUGAGACGCGAAGGC